rnacentral:rRNA from 1 species
CCUACGGGAGGCAGCAGUGAGGGAUAUUGGUCAAUGGGGGAAACCCUGAACCAGCAACGCCGCGUGAGGGAAGACGGUUUUCGGAUUGUAAACCUCUGUUCUCUGUGAAGAUAAUGAGGGUAGCAGAGGAGGAAGCUCCGGCUAACUACGUGCCAGCAGCCGCGGGAAUACGUAGGGGGCAAGCGUUGUCCGGAUUUACUGGGGGUAAAGGGUGCGUAGGUGGGCCUGCAAAUCAGAAGUGAAAUCCAUGGGGUUAACCCAUGAUCUGCUGUUGAAACUGUAGGGCUUGAGUGAAGUAGAGGCAGGCGGAAUGCCCGGUGUAGCGGUGAAAUGCGUAGAGAUCGGGAGGAACACCAGUGGCGAAGGCGGCCUGCUGGGCUUUAACUGACGCUGAGGCACGAAAGCGUGGGUAGCAAACAGGAUUAGAUACCCUUGUAGUC